rnacentral:rRNA from 1 species
UACGGGGGGGGCAAGCGUUGUUCGGAAUUACUGGGCGUAAAGGGCUCGUAGGCGGCCAACUAAGUCGGAUGUGAAAUCCCCAGGCUUAACCUGGGAACUGCAUCCGAUACUGGAUGGCUUGAAUUCGGGAGAGGGAUGCAGAAUUCCAGGUGUAGCGGUGAAAUGCGUAGAUAUCUGGAGGAAUACCGGUGGCGAAGGCGGCAUCCUGGACCGACAUUGACACUGAGGAGCGAAAGCCAGGGGAGCAAACGGG